rnacentral:rRNA from 1 species
ACAGAGGUGGCAAGCGUUGUUCGGAAUUACUGGGCGUAAAGGGCGCGUAGGCGGCCCUCUAAGUCCCGUGUGAAAGCCCCCGGCUCAACCGGGGAACUGCACGGGAAACUGGAAGGCUUGAGUUCGGGAGAGGGAAGCGGAAUUCCGGGUGUAGCGGUGAAAUGCGUAGAUAUCUGGAGGAACACCGGUGGCGAAGGCGACAUCCUGGACCGGUAUUGACGCUGAGGCGCGAAAGCCAGGGGAGCAAACGGGA